UACGAAGGGUGCAAGCGUUAAUCGGAAUUACUGGGCGUAAAGCGUGCGCAGGCGGUUCGUUAAGUUCGAUGUGAAAGCCCCGGGCUCAACCUGGGAAUUGCAUUGGAAACUGGCGGGCUUGAGUGUGGCAGAGGGGGGUGGAAUUCCACGUGUAGGCAGUGAAAUGCGUAGAGAUGUGGAGGAACACCGAUGGCGAAGGCAGCCCCCUGGGGUAAGACUGACGCUCAGGCACGAAAGCGUGGGGAGC
rnacentral:rRNA from 1 species